UCAUGUUUCAUCUCACCCUUUCGUAAUUCAAAAAAUUGAUAAUAAUUCGUAGUUCGAGAUUGAUCGAGUUGGAAACUAGAAAACAUUUUUAACACUAAUCAGUAAAAAAAAAAAAAUGGGGAAGAGGACAGCAUUGUUUAUGGUGAUGGUGGUGGGGAUGUUAAGUGUGAGUUGGUGUUGGGGAGAGGAAAAAGCGAAUGUGGCGAAGGAAGAGAUGAGUAACAAAGCCCAGCAGGCUAAGCAAAGUGCUUCUGAAGCCAUGGAUGAUGCUAAAGACAAAACCGCUUCUUGGGCUGAUUGGGUCGCUGACCAAUUCUCACAGUACCAAGACGAUGCAAAAGAUGAAGCCCAAAGAUUAUCAGAUAGAGCUAAGGAUGCCGCAUCAAAUGCAAGAGAUUCCAUUAAUUCUGCUUCACAUGGAACCCAAAGGUAUGGCUCUCAAAAGGCGAAGGAGAUGGCUGACGUAGCAUCUGACAAAUUCGGUGAUGCUAAAAAUUUUGCAUCCGAGAAAGCCAAUCAAGCUAUGGACGCAGCCGCAGAUAUCACUAGUCAUGCCAAUGAAAGAGGAAAAGAUAAUGCGUAUGACGCUUAUGCCUAUGCAUCGGAGAAAACUGGCAAAGCCGCAAACACUGCUACCGAUUUUGCCAAACAAAAGGCUGAUGAUGCUUAUGCAUAUGCAUCUGAUAAGGCAGGUCAAGCCACAGACACUGCUUCGGACAUGGCGGCAAACGCCAAAGGAAGUGCCAAACAUAAAGCUUAUGAUGCCAAACAUUUUGCCAAAGAGAAAGCACGUGAUGCUUAUGCUUCCGCUUCUGAUAAGGCAGGUCAAGCCACUAAUGCUGCUUCGGAUAUGGCGGCCGAUGCAAAAGAAAGAGCCAAACAUAAGGCUUAUGAUGCUUCUGAUUUUACCAAAGAGAAGGCGCAUGAUGCUUAUGCCUCCGCAUCUGAUAAGGCGAGUCAAGCUACUAACAUUGCUUCGGACAUGGCAGGUGAUGCCAAAGAAAAAGUUAAACACAAGGCUUAUGAUGCGAAUAAUUUUGCCAAAGAGAAAGCUCAUGAUGCUUAUGCCUCCGCAUCUGAAAAGGCAGGUCGAGCCACUAACAUUGCUUCAGACAUGGCCGCCGAUGCCAAAGAAAGCGCUAAACAUAAAGCUUAUGGUGCCAGAGAUUUUGCUUCUGGGAAGGCACAUGAUUUGGUGAAUGCUGCUUCCGAGAUGGGCAGCGCAGCUAAAGAGAAGGUUAAGGAUAAAGCUAACGAUGCCUAUGCUUAUGCCACAGAUAAAGCAGGUGAUGCCAAAGAAAUAGGGAAAGACAAAGCGUAUGAUGCUUACGGAUAUGCAUCUGACAAGAUGAACCAAGCGAAGGACGAGGCUUCUAAUAUUGCUGGUGAUUCAAAAGACACCAUGAAGGACAAAGCAUCAGAUGCCUAUGGUUAUGCUACUGAUAAAGUAAGCGAUGCCAAAGAAAUCGGAAAAGACAAAGCGUAUGACGCUUAUGGAUUUGUAUCUGACAAGUUGAGCCGAGCAAGGGAUGCGGCUUCUAACCUUGCUGGUAAUUCAAAAGACACUAUGAAAGAUAAAGCCUCGGAUGCCUAUGACUUUGCCUCUGGUAAAGCAGAUCAAACCAUAAGAAUGGCUACCGAUAGAGCCCAUGAUGCGAGAGAGAAAGCUUAUGAUGACUACGAGGGGGCCAAAUCAAAGGCGCAUGAAACCUACAACACUGCCAAGAACACGAUGAAUGAACAAGCAAAGGAUAAAUAUGAAGCAGCCAAAGAGAAGGCUUCGGCAGCUGCAGGUAACGUUGGAGCAAAAAUGAGAAGUGCGAGUGGCAAAGAAUUAUGAGCAAUUAGUAGUAUAACAGCCCCUGAAUGGAAAUCUUGCUUGGAAAGAGGUUCCUUCAUUGAAAUGAUUUUCCAUCCGCCAACUUCAGAAACAUGCACCAAAAAGAUUUUAGUGCGUUUGGUCUCAUAUGUAGACACGUUCAUCUAAAAGGAAGCAUCCACCACCAAAAUUUAUCUUCACUAGAUGAUUCAGCUGGAACUCCCGUGUUCCCUCCGAAGCUCAUCAUCACUGGUGCCACGUGUCCCCUAUGAGAGUACUUAUGAUGGUGCUGUGGAGACGG